GCCUUCUUAGAUCAGUGGUAGAGCAUGUGUUUUUUAACAACAUGGUCGUGGGUUCGAUGCCCACAGACGGUG
rfam:Ipomoea nil DNA, scaffold: scaffold0861, cultivar: Tokyo-kokei standard.